CUGCAAUGAUGGCAUUUCUUAGGACAUCCUUAGAUUAACUAUGAAAACAACUUCCUCUGCACCCAAUUUCUCUGAGCAGC
ensembl:snoRNA SNORD58 Small nucleolar RNA SNORD58